GGGUUGUGAGGUUAAGCGACUAAGCGUACACGGUGGAUGCCCUGGCAGUCAGAGGCGAUGAAGGACGUGCUAAUCUGCGAUAAGCGUCGGUAAGGUGAUAUGAACCGUUAUAACCGGCGAUUUCCGAAUGGGGAAACCCAGUGUGAUUCGUCACACUAUCAUUAACUGAAUCCAUAGGUUAAUGAGGCGAACCGGGGGAACUGAAACAUCUAAGUACCCCGAGGAAAAGAAAUCAACCGAGAUUCCCCCAGUAGCGGCGAGCGAACGGGGAGCAGCCCAGAGCCUGAAUCAGUGUGUGUGUUAGUGGAAGCGUCUGGAAAGGCGCGCGAUACAGGGUGACAGCCCCGUACACAAAAAUGCACAUGCUGUGAGCUCGAUGAGUAGGGCGGGACACGUGGUAUCCUGUCUGAAUAUGGGGGGACCAUCCUCCAAGGCUAAAUACUCCUGACUGACCGAUAGUGAACCAGUACCGUGAGGGAAAGGCGAAAAGAACCCCGGCGAGGGGAGUGAAAAAGAACCUGAAACCGUGUACGUACAAGCAGUGGGAGCACGCUUAGGCGUGUGACUGCGUACCUUUUGUAUAAUGGGUCAGCGACUUAUAUUCUGUAGCAAGGUUAACCGAAUAGGGGAGCCGAAGGGAAACCGAGUCUUAACUGGGCGUUAAGUUGCAGGGUAUAGACCCGAAACCCGGUGAUCUAGCCAUGGGCAGGUUGAAGGUUGGGUAACACUAACUGGAGGACCGAACCGACUAAUGUUGAAAAAUUAGCGGAUGACUUGUGGCUGGGGGUGAAAGGCCAAUCAAACCGGGAGAUAGCUGGUUCUCCCCGAAAGCUAUUUAGGUAGCGCCUCGUGAAUUCAUCUCCGGGGGUAGAGCACUGUUUCGGCAAGGGGGUCAUCCCGACUUACCAACCCGAUGCAAACUGCGAAUACCGGAGAAUGUUAUCACGGGAGACACACGGCGGGUGCUAACGUCCGUCGUGAAGAGGGAAACAACCCAGACCGCCAGCUAAGGUCCCAAAGUCAUGGUUAAGUGGGAAACGAUGUGGGAAGGCCCAGACAGCCAGGAUGUUGGCUUAGAAGCAGCCAUCAUUUAAAGAAAGCGUAAUAGCUCACUGGUCGAGUCGGCCUGCGCGGAAGAUGUAACGGGGCUAAACCAUGCACCGAAGCUGCGGCAGCGACACUAUGUGUUGUUGGGUAGGGGAGCGUUCUGUAAGCCUGUGAAGGUGUGCUGUGAGGCAUGCUGGAGGUAUCAGAAGUGCGAAUGCUGACAUAAGUAACGAUAAAGCGGGUGAAAAGCCCGCUCGCCGGAAGACCAAGGGUUCCUGUCCAACGUUAAUCGGGGCAGGGUGAGUCGACCCCUAAGGCGAGGCCGAAAGGCGUAGUCGAUGGGAAACAGGUUAAUAUUCCUGUACUUGGUGUUACUGCGAAGGGGGGACGGAGAAGGCUAUGUUGGCCGGGCGACGGUUGUCCCGGUUUAAGCGUGUAGGCUGGUUUUCCAGGCAAAUCCGGAAAAUCAAGGCUGAGGCGUGAUGACGAGGCACUACGGUGCUGAAGCAACAAAUGCCCUGCUUCCAGGAAAAGCCUCUAAGCAUCAGGUAACAUCAAAUCGUACCCCAAACCGACACAGGUGGUCAGGUAGAGAAUACCAAGGCGCUUGAGAGAACUCGGGUGAAGGAACUAGGCAAAAUGGUGCCGUAACUUCGGGAGAAGGCACGCUGAUAUGUAGGUGAAGUCCCUCGCGGAUGGAGCUGAAAUCAGUCGAAGAUACCAGCUGGCUGCAACUGUUUAUUAAAAACACAGCACUGUGCAAACACGAAAGUGGACGUAUACGGUGUGACGCCUGCCCGGUGCCGGAAGGUUAAUUGAUGGGGUUAGCGCAAGCGAAGCUCUUGAUCGAAGCCCCGGUAAACGGCGGCCGUAACUAUAACGGUCCUAAGGUAGCGAAAUUCCUUGUCGGGUAAGUUCCGACCUGCACGAAUGGCGUAAUGAUGGCCAGGCUGUCUCCACCCGAGACUCAGUGAAAUUGAACUCGCUGUGAAGAUGCAGUGUACCCGCGGCAAGACGGAAAGACCCCGUGAACCUUUACUAUAGCUUGACACUGAACAUUGAGCCUUGAUGUGUAGGAUAGGUGGGAGGCUUUGAAGUGUGGACGCCAGUCUGCAUGGAGCCGACCUUGAAAUACCACCCUUUAAUGUUUGAUGUUCUAACGUUGACCCGUAAUCCGGGUUGCGGACAGUGUCUGGUGGGUAGUUUGACUGGGGCGGUCUCCUCCUAAAGAGUAACGGAGGAGCACGAAGGUUGGCUAAUCCUGGUCGGACAUCAGGAGGUUAGUGCAAUGGCAUAAGCCAGCUUGACUGCGAGCGUGACGGCGCGAGCAGGUGCGAAAGCAGGUCAUAGUGAUCCGGUGGUUCUGAAUGGAAGGGCCAUCGCUCAACGGAUAAAAGGUACUCCGGGGAUAACAGGCUGAUACCGCCCAAGAGUUCAUAUCGACGGCGGUGUUUGGCACCUCGAUGUCGGCUCAUCACAUCCUGGGGCUGAAGUAGGUCCCAAGGGUAUGGCUGUUCGCCAUUUAAAGUGGUACGCGAGCUGGGUUUAGAACGUCGUGAGACAGUUCGGUCCCUAUCUGCCGUGGGCGCUGGAGAACUGAGGGGGGCUGCUCCUAGUACGAGAGGACCGGAGUGGACGCAUCACUGGUGUUCGGGUUGUCAUGCCAAUGGCACUGCCCGGUAGCUAAAUGCGGAAGAGAUAAGUGCUGAAAGCAUCUAAGCACGAAACUUGCCCCGAGAUGAGUUCUCCCUGACUCCUUGAGAGUCCUGAAGGAACGUUGAAGACGACGACGUUGAUAGGCCGGGUGUGUAAGCGCAGCGAUGCGUUGAGCUAACCGGUACUAAUGAACCGUGAGGCUUAACCUUACAACGCCGAAG
rnacentral:rRNA from 1 species